rnacentral:rRNA from 1 species
UACGUAGGGGGCGAGCGUUGUCCGGAAUUACUGGGCGUAAAGGGCGUGUAGGCGGCCUGUUAAGUCAGGGGUGAAAGACCGGGGCUCAACCCCGGGGGUGCCUCUGAAACUGGCGGGCUUGAGUGCUCUAGAGGGCAGUGGAAUUCCCGGUGUAGCAGUGAAAUGCGUAGAGAUCGGGAGGAACACCAGUGGCGAAGGCGGCUGCCUGGGGAGUCACUGACGCUGAGGCGCGAAAGCUAGGGGAGCAAAC